AAAUUGAAGAGUUUGAUCAUGGCUCAGAUUGAACGCUGGCGGCAGGCCUAACACAUGCAAGUCGAACGGUAACAGGAAGCAGCUUGCUGCUUCGCUGACGAGUGGCGGACGGGUGAGUAAUGUCUGGGAAACUGCCUGAUGGAGGGGGAUAACUACUGGAAACGGUGGCUAAUACCGCAUAACGUCGCAAGACCAAAGAGGGGGACCUUCGGGCCUCUUGCCAUCAGAUGUGCCCAGAUGGGAUUAGCUUGUUGGUGAGGUAAUGGCUCACCAAGGCGACGAUCCCUAGCUGGUCUGAGAGGAUGACCAGCCACACUGGAACUGAGACACGGUCCAGACUCCUACGGGAGGCAGCAGUGGGGAAUAUUGCACAAUGGGCGCAAGCCUGAUGCAGCCAUGCCGCGUGUAUGAAG
rnacentral:rRNA from 1 species